CCCACAUGCAGACACCAUACCCAGACACUAUUGAUGAUGCCAAGAAGUGCUUGCUUACAGGAGCCUGAUUCAGCUGUCUCAUGAGUGGUUCUGCAGGAUCCUGACCAAUACAGACAUGGAUGCUCUCAGCCAACCAUCAGAUUGAGCACAGGGACAGACUGAACAAUGGCAAAGCUGACAAGAUAUCAAGGUGGGUUUUCUGUUGCAACUCUUCAGUCCUGCCAUUGUGGCUCAAAAGCAGUCAGAGGUAUAAGAACAGGCACAUCUAGAAAUAACUGCACUGCUGGAG